rnacentral:rRNA from 1 species
UACGUAGGGGGCAAGCGUUGUCCGGAUUUAUUGGGCGUAAAGAGCGUGUAGGCGGUUUGGUAGGUCCGUUGUGAAAACUCGAGGCUCAACCUCGAGACGCCGAUGGAAACCAUCAGACUAGAGUCCGGAAGAGGAGAGUGGAAUUCCGUGGUGUAGCGGUGAAAUGCGCAGAUAUCAGGAGGAACACCUGUGGCGAAAGCGGCGCACUGGACCACAACUGACGCUGAGGCGCGAAAGCGUGGGGAGCGAACAGGA